rnacentral:rRNA from 1 species
GCUAAUACCGAAUAACACAAAUCAGUGGCAUCGCAGAUUUGUCAAAGGAGAAAUCCGCCGAAAGAUGGGCUCGCGGCCGAUUAGGCAGUUGGCGGGGUAACGGCCCACCAAACCGACGAUCGGUAACCGGACUGAGAGGUCGAACGGUCACAUUGGAACUGAGAGACGGUCCAGACUCCUACGGGAGGCAGCAGUGGGGAAUAUUGGGCAAUGGACGAAAGUCUGACCCAGCGACGCCGCGUGAAGGAAGAAGGUCUUCGGAUUGUAAACUUAUGUCAGAGGGGAAGAAAGAAAUGACGGUACCCUCAGAGGAAGCCACGGCUAACUACGUGCCAGCAGCCGCGGUAAUACGUAGGUGGCGAGCGUUGUCCGGAAUUACUGGGUGUAAAGGGUGUGUAGGCGGCUAAGCAAGUCAGAGGUUAAAUAUGCGGGCUCAACCCGUAUCUGCCUUUGAAACUGCAUAGCUUGAGCGCGGGAGAGGUAAGCGGAAUUCCCAGUGUAGCGGUAAAAUGCGUAGAUAU